UACAGAGGGUGCAAGCGUUAAUCGGAAUGACUGGGCGUAAAGGGCGCGUAGGCGGACUGAUGAGUCAUAGGUGAAAUCCCCGGGCUUAACCUGGGAACUGCCUAUGAAACUAUUAAUCUAGAAUAUAGGAGAGGGGAGUGGAAUUUCCGGUGUAGCGGUGAAAUGCGUAGAUAUCGGAAAGAACACCAGUGGCGAAGGCGACUCUCUGGCCUAAUAUUGACGCUGAGGCGCGAAAGCGUGGGGAGCAAAC
rnacentral:rRNA from 1 species